UUGGAGGGCAAGUCUGGUGCCAGCAGCCGCGGUAAUUCCAGCUCCAAUAGCGUAUAUUAAAGUUGCUGCAGUUAAAAAGCUCGUAGUUGAAUUUCGGGACCAUCAUGUCGGUCGUGCCUCGGUACGUACUGGUAUUGUUGGUUUCUCCCUUCUGACGAACCAUGAUGUCAUUAAUUUGGUGUCGUGGGGAAUCAGGACUGUUACUUUGAAAAAAUUAGAGUGUUUAAAGCAGGCGCACGCUUGAAUACAUUAGCAUGGAAUAAUGAAAUAGGACGUUUGAUUCUAUUUUGUUGGUUUCUAGGAUCACCGUAAUGAUUAAUAGGGAUAGUUGGGGGCAUUAGUAUUCAAUUGUCAGAGGUGAAAUUCUUGGAUUUAUUGAAGACUAACUUCUGCGAAAGCAUUUGCCAAGGAUGUUUUCAUUAAUCAAGAACGAAAGUUAGGGGAUCGAAGACGAUCAGAUACCGUCGUAGUCUUAACCAUAACUAUGCCGACUAGGGAUCGGACGAUGUUAAUUUUUUAAUGACUCGUUCGGCGCCUUACGGGAAAC
rnacentral:rRNA from 1 species